rnacentral:lncRNA from 1 species
CCUCCCAACAUGGCGACCCCCCAACCAACAUGGCGGCCGACCCCCCCUCACCAAUAUGGCGACCCACACACAACAUGGCGGCCCCUUCAACAUGGCGACCCCACCACCAACAUGGCGACUGCCCUCCCUCCCCCAAUAUGGCGGCCAACCCGCCACCCCCAACAUGUCGGCCACCCCCCCACCCAACAUGGCGUCCCACCACCAACAUGGCUACCACCCCCCCAACAUGGCGGAUUCCCACCCCCAAUAUGGCGACCAUCACCCAACAUGGCGCCCACCCCACCCCCACCCCCAACAUGGCGACACCCCCCCCCAACAUGGCGGCGACCGUCAACAUGGCGACACCCCACCCCAAACAUGUUGACCCUCCCAACAUGGCGGCCGACCCCUCCCAACAUGGCGGCCGACCCCCCCACACAUGGCGGCCGACCCCCCCCGCCCCAACAUGGCGGCCACCCAGCCAACAUGGCCACUCAAUUCAGCUUUAAAUCGUUUCUCUUUUGUGGUGCAGCAAUAGAGACCCCCCCCCAUAGGGAUCCAUUUUAACCCCAUAGGACCCAUUGCAGCCCCAUAGGGACCCAUUGCAGCCCCAUUUUAGCCCCAUAGGACCCAUUUUAGCCCCAUAGAACCCAUAGGGCCCCAUUUUAGCCCCAUAGAACCCAUUGCAGCCCCAUAGGGCCCCAUUUUAGCCCCAUAGAAUCCAUAGGGACCCAUUGCAGCCCCAUAGAGCCCAUAGGGACCCAUUGCAGCCCUAUAGGACCCAUUGCAGCCCCAUACGGACCCAUUUUAGCCCCAUAGGGCCCCAUUUUAACCCCAUAGGGACCCAUUGCAGCCCCAUAGGACCCAUAGGGACCCAUUUUAGCCCCAUAGGGACACACUGCAGCCCCAUAGGACCCAUAGGGACCCAUUUUAGCCCCAUAGGGACCCACUGCAGCCCCAUAGGGACACACUGCAGCCCCAUAGGGCCCCAUUGCAGCCCCAUAGGGCCCUUUGCAGCCCUAUAGGACCCAUUGUAGCCCCAUAGGACCCUUAGGGACCCAUUGCAGCCCCAUAGGACCCAUUGCAGACCCAUAGAACCCAUAGGGCCCCAUUUUAGCCCCAUAGAACCCAUUGCAGCCCCAUAGGGCCCCAUUUUAGCCCCAUAGAACCCAUAGGGACCCAUUUUAGCCCCAUAGGGACCCAUUUUAGCCCCAUAGGACCCAUAGGGACCCAUUGUAGCCCCAUAGAACCCAUAGGGACCCAUUUUAGCCCCAUAGGGACCCAUUGCAGCCCCAUAGAACCCUCUGGCCCCGCCCCCUUCCUUUAAGCCCCGCCCCUUUUCCUGCGGGCGGGGGGAGUUGGGAGCGGGGUCAUUUCAGGACACCAGGCCCCCUCCCCCCCCGCCCUCUCAUUGGCUGUCGAUACGCCGCUUCCUAUUGGCUGCGGGCUCCACGGGGGGCGGGGCCGGCGGGGUUUAACCCCUGCGGUGCCGGAGGGAAUUUGGGGCUGGGACCUAUAGGGCUCUAUGGGGCUGGGACCUAUAGGGUUAUGGGGCUGAGACUAUAGG